AUGAGUGCCGCCGUGCCCUGCUCCCUCCUCUCUUCCUCUGUCUCCUCUCACCUCGCUCACCCCCAAUCUCUUUGUCCCCAGAACGAACAGGAGCAUGCCAUGGCCUCGGAUCCGUGCCGCCGUCGCCGGAGAACAUCGUCCGCCACCGGUUCUUCGACCACAAGUACCGGAUCAAGUUGCCCCGCCUCCGAUCUACCGGUUCCCGGCCACCCUAACCUCGCCUCGUCGUCGGGCGCGCAGAGAGACGGCCAUGGCCGCCUGAUUCCCGACCGCCGCCGGCCAAGGUCUUGGAGGGGUGGUUCUGGAGCACAAGCUGCGGCGAGUUGUCGGCUAUGUGACAGAGGAGACCACCGAGGUCUUGCAAGGGUGGUUCCGGAGCGAAGUGGGAUGUUUGUCAGGUGA
rnacentral:rRNA from 1 species